rnacentral:rRNA from 1 species
GAGUAAUGCGUGACCAACCUGCCCCAUGCUCCAGAAUAGCUCUUGGAAACGGGUGGUAAUGCUGGAUGCUCCAACUUGACGCAUGUCUUGUUGGGAAAGUGUUUAGUGGCAUGGGAUGGGGUCGCGUCCUAUCAGCUUGUAGGCGGGGUAAUGGCCCACCUAGGCUUCGACGGGUAGCCGGCCUGAGAGGGCGGACGGCCACAUUGGGACUGAGAUACGGCCCAGACUCCUACGGGAGGCAGCAGUC